rnacentral:rRNA from 1 species
GACGAACGCUGGCGGCGUGCUUAACACAUGCAAGUCGAACGGAGUGGCGAACGGGCGAGUAACUCGUGGGUGACCUGCCCUGCACUUCGGGAUAAGCCUGGGAAACUGGGUCUAAUACCGGAUAGUGUGGGAUGGGCCCGCGGCCUAUCAGCUUGUGGGUGGGGUAAUGGCCUACCAAGGCGGCGAGGGGUAGCCGGCCUGAGAGGGUGGACGGCCACAGAGGGACAGGGACACGGCCCAGACGGAUUCGGGAGGAAGCGAUGAAGAAUUUAGGAAGAUGGGCGGAAGGAUGGUGCACGGACGUCGGGUGGGGGAUGACGGUCUUCGGGUACGAAACGCCUUUCUCCAUCGACGCGGUAGAUGAAUAAGAAGCACCGGCUAACUACGUGCCAGCAGCCGCGGUAAUUC